UACGUAGGUGGCAAGCGUUGUCCGGAUUUACUGGGCGUAAAGAGCGCGCAGGCGGUCGGGCAAGUCGGGUGUGAAAGCCCCCGGCUCAACUGGGGAGGGUCACGCGAUACUGCUCGACUCGAAGGCAGGAGAGGGAAGUGGAAUUCCCGGUGUAGUGGUGAAAUGCGUAGAUAUCGGGAGGAACACCAGUGGCGAAGGCGACUUCCUGGCCUGUUCUUGACGCUGAGGCGCGAAAGCUAGGGUAGCAAACGGG
rnacentral:rRNA from 1 species